rnacentral:rRNA from 1 species
GCUUAAUAAAUUUGAAUUAUUAAUUUUAGAUGUGUGUAGUUAGUUGUUUAAGUUUAUUUUGUUGGGGCGACAAGGAAAUCAAUUAACUUUCUUUUUUAAAAAACACAAAUGAGUGAGAAAAGGAUCCAUGGGUGAUGAUUGAAAGAUUAAGC